AAUGAACGCUGGCGGCAGGCCUAAGACAUGCAAGUCGAACGGAUCCUUCGGGACUAGUGGCGGACGGGUGAGUAACGCGUGGGAACAUACGCAAAGGUACGGAAUAGCCUCGGGAAGAUGGGAGUAAUACCGUAUGUGCCCGAGAGAGGAAAGAUUUAUCGCCUUUGGAUUGGCCCGCGUUGGAUUAGGUAGUUGGUGGGGUAAUGGCCUACCAAGCCGACGAUCCAUAGCUGGUUUGAGAGGAUGAUCAGCCACACUGGGACUGAGACACGGCCCAGACUCCUACGGGAGGCAGCAGUGGGGAAUCUUAGACAAUGGGGGAAACCCUGAUCUAGCCAUGCCGCGUGAUCGAUGAAGGCCUUAGGGUUGUAAAGAUCUUUCAGGUGGGAAGAUAAUGACUGUACCACCAGAAGAAGCCCCGGCUAACUCCGUGCCAGCAGCCGCCGCAG
rnacentral:rRNA from 1 species